AUGAACGCUAGCGGCAGGCUUAACACAUGCAAGUCGAGGGGCAGCAUAAUGGAUAGCAAUAUCUAUGGUGGCGACCGGCGCACGGGUGCGUAACGCGUAUGCAACCUACCUUUAACAGGGGGAUAACACUGAGAAAUUGGUACUAAUACCCCAUAAUAUCAUAGAAGGCAUCUUUUAUGGUUGAAAAUUCCGAUGGUUAGAGAUGGGCAUGCGUUGUAUUAGCUAGUUGGUGGGGUAACGGCUCACCAAGGCGACGAUACAUAGGGGGACUGAGAGGUUAACCCCCCACACUGGUACUGAGACACGGACCAGACUCCUACGGGAGGCAGCAGUGAGGAAUAUUGGUCAAUGGACGCAAGUCUGAACCAGCCAUGCCGCGUGCAGGAUGACGGCUCUAUGAGUUGUAAACUGCUUUUGUACGAGGGUAAACGCAGAUACGUGUAUCUGUCUGAAAGUAUCGUACGAAUAAGGAUCGGCUAACUCCGUGCCAGCAGCCGCGGUAAUACGGAGGAUUCAAGCGUUAUCCGGAUUUAUUGGGUUUAAAGGGUGCGUAGGCGGUUUGAUAAGUUAGAGGUGAAAUUUCGGGGCUCAACCCUGAACGUGCCUCUAAUACUGUUGAGCUAGAGAGUAGUUGCGGUAGGCGGAAUGUAUGGUGUAGCGGUGAAAUGCUUAGAGAUCAUACAGAACACCGAUUGCGAAGGCAGCUUACCAAACUAUAUCUGACGUUGAGGCACGAAAGCGUGGGGAGCAAACAGGAUUAGAUACCCUGGUAGUCCACGCAGUAAACGAUGAUAACUCGUUGUCGGCGAUACACAGUCGGUGACUAAGCGAAAGCGAUAAGUUAUCCACCUGGGGAGUACGUUCGCAAGAAUGAAACUCAAAGGAAUUGACGGGGGCCCGCACAAGCGGUGGAGUAUGUGGUUUAAUUCGACGCAACGCGAAGAACCUUACCAGGUCUUGACAUCGAUCUAAAGGCUCCAGAGAUGGAGAGAUAGCUAUAGAGAAGACAGGUGGUGCAUGGUUGUCGUCAGCUCGUGUCGUGAGAUGUUGGGUUAAGUCCCGCAACGAGCGCAACCCCUGUACUUAGUUGCCAGCAUGUAGAGAUGGGAACUCUAAGUAGACUGCCGCGAAUAACGCGGAGGAAGGUGGGGAUGACGUCAAAUCAUCAUGCCCCUUAUGACCUGGGCUACACACGUGCUACAAUGGCGCAUACAAAGAGAAGCGACCUCGCGAGAGCAAGCGGACCUCAUAAAGUGCGUCGUAGUCCGGAUUGGAGUCUGCAACUCGACUCCAUGAAGUCGGAAUCGCUAGUAAUCGUGGAUCAGAAUGCCACGGUGAAUACGUUCCCGGGCCUUGUACACACCGCCCGUCACACCAUGAGAGUUGGGGAUACCCGGAGCCUGUGAGCCAACAUAUCUAUGAGGCAGCAGUCGAAGGUAGAAUCAAUGAUUGGGGUG
rnacentral:rRNA from 1 species